UUACUCUGCUGCUUUUACGAAUAAAGUGAUCACUGUUGUCGAAUCACUAGGGAACUGUGAAGCAGCCUGGCAGUUCGAGAAGCCCCUACAAGAAAAAACACAAGCGCUUCAGGAUGUCGGAAAGUGGCCCAGUUUCCAGAGAUGGAGAAGAAGCUACUAGACAUAUUAGCAGAACGGAGGGGAAGCGGCUUUGCAAUCAGCACUUUAGAACUUAGUCUCAAAGCCUUGAAGCUCAUGAAGGAUAAAGGGAACUGUGAAGCAGCCUGGCAGUUCGAGAAGCCCCUACAAGAAAAAACACAAGCGCUUCAGGAUGUCGGAAAGUGGCCCAGUUUCCAGAGAUGGAGAAGAAGCUACUAGACAUAUUAGCAGAACGGAGGGGAAGCGGCUUUGCAAUCAGCACUUUAGAACUUAGUCUCAAAGCCUUGAAGCUCAUGAAGGAUAAAGCUCAAAGAACGUGCAGCGCUUCUGUCUGGAUGAACUCGAAGUGUCGGUUUCCUCUUCGAAGAGCACAACCCAUCGCCCAGGUGUGAGGGAACCGGCCGGCGCGGCGGACCUUUUGGCGAGGCAGCGAAGUCCGCCGAAGUGAAACGCGUCCUCCUCUUUCUACUCGGCUAACCUCGCUAGCCGCCGAGCUAACGUGCCGCCAGCUAGUUGGUCACACCGCGGCGGAGGGAGCUCCUCGUCGGCGGCGCACGAAGGACGAAGUGACCGAAUUUGCCGGCUCCGUCGAAGACGAAGCCCAGCCGCGCACAGGCAAGGUAAACUUUCUGGUGUUUGGACGCCACUCUGUAUUUGGGAACUUGUCGACAGUCAGCCAGCCAGCCAGCUAGCUAGCUAGCUGGCGUGCCAAUUGGGCUUUUCUUGGUCCUCGCAAAAGUCGCAACUUCUUCAACUGCUUUCUUGUCAAAAUGGCUCAAUAUUGGGCGUAUGAUUCCAAACAACCUUUUUGAUGCGGUUUCUUCUUGUCUUGCUGUGUUAUCAUGUGUGCCAAUGGGCCUCCACCUCUGAUGGCUGGGCCUCCACCACCACCGACGGCUGGGCCUCCUCCACCACCGACGGCUGGGCCUCCACCACCACCGAUGGCUGGGCCUCCAGCACCACCGACGGCUGGGCCUCCACCACCACCGACGGCUGGGCCUCCACCGCUGCCGGCUGAUGCGGAAGCAGGCAGCGUAAAGCUAUAUGCAAACAUUGCCAAUAAAAGAAACAGGGGGCUGCCAAACCCCGCAAUACUAAAGCACCGGAAAUGGAGGGCGUUCCAAACCGUUAAUAACUCUAAAUUAAUAUGGGACUCAACACGUAAACCAAAAGGCAUUCUUUGUGCACACUUAAAUAUACAAAGCAUUUUAACGAAAAGUGAUCAGGUCAAUCACCUUCUCACUGACUCAAAUAUUGACUUCGUCUGCCUAUCUGAGACAUGGAUCUUCGCCCUCAGCAGUACUAUCUGUACCUGGUUAUAAAAUGUUUAGAAACGACAGACAGGGUUCUAAGGGAGGAGGUGUUAUGAUUUAUGCCAAGGACACUUUUAAUUGUAAUGAAAUACAUGUUACAGAUGAGAAUGGAUUAGAAUUUCUUGGACUAACUGUUUCUUUGUCACAGCAAAUGUCUUUUAUUCUUGUAGUUAUUUAUAGGCCUCCCUCAUCAAAUGCCGCUUUCUAUGAAAAGCUGGAAAUGUUACUGAAACAACUCAAUCUUGCAAAAGAGGUGAUAAUAAUG